AACGAACGCUGGCGGCAUGCCUAACACAUGCAAGUCGAACGAGAACUUCGGGUCUAGUGGCUCACCGAGGGGUAAAGCGUGGGAACCUACCCUUAGGUUCUGAAUAACUCCUCGGGAGAGGUCCGAAUAACGGAGAAUGUCAUCGGACAAAAGCUUUUUCGCCUGUGGAUGGUGCCGAGUUGGUUUAGCUAGGGGUUAGGGUAAAGGCCACCCAAGGCGACGAUCGGUAGCUGGUCGGAGAGGAGGAUCAGCGACACUGGGACUGGGACACGGCCCAGACUGGUACGGGAGGCAGGGAUGGGGAAUAGUGGGAAGUGGGCGAGAGCCUGAUCCAGCAAUGGCGGGUGAGUGAUGAAGGCGUUAGGGUUGUAAAGCUCUUUUACCCGGGAUGAUAAUGACAGUACCGGGAGAAUAAGCUCCGGCUAACUACGUG
rnacentral:rRNA from 1 species